AGGAUGAACGCUGGCGGCGUGCCUAACACAUGCAAGUCGAACGUCCUGUCUCGCAAGAGGCAGGGAGUGGCGGACGGGUGAGUACCACGUGGGUCAUCUACCGUGAGGUGAGGAAUACCGGCGAGAAAUCGCCGACAAGACCGCAUAGGCUCGAUGCAAGUCGAGCAAAGCUCUUUCGAGAGAGGGAGCGCCACACGAGGAGCCUGCGCCCGAUUAGCUAGCUGGUGGAGUAACGGUUCACCAGGGCGACGAUCGGUAGCUGGUCUGAGAGGACGAUCAGCCACACUGGGAUUGAGAACGGCCCAGACUCCUACGGGGGGCAGCAGUGAGGAAUUUUCGUCAAUGGGGGCAACCCUGAACGAGCAACGCCGCGUGCAGGAAGAGGUUUUCGGAUCGUAACUGCUUUUCUCGGGGAAGAGAAUGGACGGUACCCGAGGAAUCAGCCCGGCUAACUACGCGCCAGCAGCCGCGGU
rnacentral:rRNA from 1 species